rnacentral:lncRNA from 1 species
AUUUGAUUAUAAAUGACACAUUUAACCAUAAUUGAAAAUUUCAAUCAUGAUUAAAGGUGUCAUUUAUAAGUUAAUUAAAUAUAUUCUAUAAUUCAUUUUCUGGUUGAAUGUGUCUCUAAAUGCAAUUACAACAUAUGUGCUUACAAAAUAUUUGUGUGUGGAUAUGAGUUUUGUUGUUUUGCUAGCAUUUCAUCUUCUAUAUCUCUCUCUUAAAUAAUAAUUUCUUUUGGAUAAGUAGGUUUUUCUUUU